CGAAACUGAAACUAAAAGAAAACUGCUGCAGCAUUUUGUUGUGGUCUGCGUCCGUCUACCUUUCAAAGUCAUUGGAACGGUGUAAACGGCAAGGACGCCAUGGACGUUGUGGAUGAUAUUAGGACUGUGGUGGUGUCAGGAGUGCCUGAUAUAUUGCCCCGCGAUCGGAUGGUCGACAAGUUGGUCAUCCAUUUUCAGAGUUUAAGAAGUAAUGGAGGAGACGUGCAGAAUGUACUGUAUCCCACAAUCUGUAAAGGAGUUGCAUUCGUUACAUUUGACAAUAUUGCAGAUGCGGAGAGGGUCGUUAAAAAGAACAAUCAAUGAGAGAUGAGGAGUUCCCCAAAGACUACACACUCACUGUAUUUAAAUUCACGACAGAUGUGUUCAUCUAUGUCAGCACUGAGGUAAACCUCUCAGGCUUCAGUGCCCCGAAGGCGUUGAUUCAGAGCCUGCGGUCAGCACACAGGUCAGUGAGAAUCUGCACUCUUCAACAGAACAGAGUUACCAUGGAGGGGCCCUUCACUGCUGUCAAAGCCCUGAGGGAAGAUUUAAUCGGUAAACACAGAACCAACAGCUGUUCUUCUCGGAUGGAGCAGGGAGGAUUGCCGAGCCCAGAUAACACUCUGAGCUCGAUUGCAGGGUGCUCUCGGCCACAGCGGUCUGAGAGCAGGUUUAAUGACCAAGAUAAAGAGGAGUGGGAGGAGGACUCUGUUUGGGUGGACAGCUGCACGCUCAUGUACAUUCAAAAGUUCAACCAAGAGGAGUUUGACAGGUGUUUAAGAAAGCACAACGUGUCGGCUCGAUUCGAGCAGGGAACAGACCUGACCGCUGUCCACUUAAGAGGACUCAUCCCGGGCUGCUCCGGUGUGCAGGGAGCCGCGUUAGACCUGAAUGCACUGGUGUCUAGACAACAAUCUACACUGAGAGUCCACAUUAUCAACUGCACAAGAUAUGACCUGCGAGAGAGACAGAUGUUGCUGCAGCUCUGUAACGAGGCCAGUGUUAUUUACAAGGAUAUUCUGUACGUGCCGCUGGACUCAUGCAUCAAGGUUAUUGGUCCAUCUACGGCUAGUUAUCUGUUAUAUGAAAAAUUAAUUCUGAACCAUGUAUAAAUACAGCUCCCUUCAGUAGGCCUACACUUUACUAGGGUACCUAUUUUGCUUUCAAAAGGUCCCUUACAGUCCAGAGAUUAUUAUUAUGUAGCAUGAAAGUGUCAUAUAAGACAUAAGAUGUUAAUUUUUGUCCCUUUUAUACACAUGGUCCUUUGUGUUCCUCAUUAAUGCUUUAAUUUGAUUAAACACUAGAGGGUGCUGUUGAACUGUGUAUUAUUCUUGUGUUAAGUUUUUUUUCUUUCCUGCAAACACAUAUUCCAUAUCCUGAAGAUAAUUUUGUUUGUUCAAAUAUACUUGGAAAAUUAAGUAUAUUGCACGUGAUUUUGUACAUGCUGUCAGGCGAAUUAAAUUAUUGAAAUACACUGCUACCAUGGCAGAAACCCCUUUCUGCAGCUUUGUUCUUGAUACAAUGUGUUCAGUCUUCUUGGUUAAUUAUUUGUUGGCACCCAUUCUUUAAUCACGCCUCCUGGCUAUGAAGCCAGCCUUUAAUUAGAAAAGAUAAGCUCAUGAUUAAUACCUCAGUAUAGACCUGACAGAUGCUGACCCAUCUCUUGUGAGCAGUACAGUACAGUCAAAUGUUAGAUUUGGUAUCCAUGUCAUUAAUUGCAUUUGUUUACAUAUUGCAUUGUGGUGAGAACAAGUUUCCUGAACAUUGUAUUCUGUGUUGACGAGACUGGGUAGUAAGGAUAGAAGGGUUUUGCCAAACAAGCACAUUUUUAUUGCCCAGUAACCUGCUCCAACCUCUUGGUGACUUUGCCAGAGUAAAUCUAUUUGGGGACAGAUGGAGAAUGAUUAGAGCACACGGAGGGACAUGGGCAUCUUGCCAGUAUGCUUCAUAAAGAGAUGAUUGAAGUGUGCGUGUGUCUGUGUCACCAGUAAGAAAAAAAUAAUAAUAAAAAAAGUGUAACCAUUCACACA